GUCCGGAUGGCGUAGUGGUCAACGCAUCUGCCUAGUGCGCAGAAGACCUGGGUUCGAAUCCCGGUCCGGCACA